UUUUUCAUCUGGAGCAAUUUCAUACUCUGCCUGGAAAAGAAAUAAAGAAACCAUCAAUAUUUGUACUCAUACUUCAUCAUUAUAACUUCAUUUUGGAGAUGGCCUUAACUGAACAUUCCACUUGAAUAAUUUGGAAGGCAAAUAUAAUCUUCUGAUGGAGUUCUCAGGAGGUGCUCAGAUACUAAGGGGACAGACAGACAGACAGAUAUGAGAGUGAAGAUCUGAAAUGGGCCUAUAAACCCUAAUAUUGAUACCAGCUUGGAGAACAGGAAAUGUAUACAGCUAAGAUGUCAGCUACUUAUUGAUCCCCCCCCGCCCUCCAGCACAGGAAAUGUGUCCUGCAAAACUUUAUUUUAAAGACCUUCUUUCAACAG